AAAAAAAAGUUGAUCAUUUAAAACUCAUAAAAAAUCGAGAGAGAGAGCGAGUGAUAUAAGCAGGUAAUUUUAAACUGGGUGUAAGCGUAAGCAUACCUUUUGUCUACAUGUCCAAGGCAAUUCUCAGACUCAUUAAACCCUUAAACCGCCCCCAACCUAGAAUCAAGUCAGCCGUUAAAAUUCUCAUCACUCCUCAAAUCAAGAAUUUGGCCAAUGAAGUUUGUGAAAUUCUCCGAAGUGAAGACAAACAGUGGGAAGAGUCCCUUCAGAAUCGUUUUAUUGGGGAUGAUAUUACUCCUUCUGAAGUUGCCCACCUAGUGUUCGACAAAAUUCGCGACUGCGAAUUGGGUCUCAAGUUCUAUGGUUUCAUCUCUCAUAACAGUUUUGACCUCGAUGGGUUCGCUUACUCCUCACUUUUGAAGCUCUUGGCUCGGUCCAGAGUCUUCGCAGAAAUCGACACCGUAUUGUUGGAGUGUUUGCAUUCUGAAGAGAAGCGGCCUACUCACGAGGCGUUAGGUAUUGUAUUCUUAUCUGUUGAGGAACUACAACGCGCUGCCCCAGUUACCGGCAUGUAAUUCUUUGCUUAACGGGCUUGUGAAGGAAGGAAAGUUGGACGCUGCGUGGCGUGUGUAUGAGGAGAUGGUGAGGAGAGAUGAAGCCAGUGAGAUAAGUUGUUUGGACAAUUACAGUGUUUCUAUAAUGGUGAAGGGAUUGUGUAAAGAAGGAAAGGUUGAGAAAGGUAGAAGGUUGAUUGAGAAGAGGUGGGGAAGGAACUGCAUUCCAAAUAUUGUGUUCUAUAAUAUUCUCAUUGAUGGAUAUUGCAAGAGAGGUGAUCUCACGAGGGCUCAUGAGUUUUUCGAAGAGUUGAAAGUGAAGGGUUUCUUUCCGAACCAUGAGACUUAUGGGGCUAUGAUUGAUGGAUUUUGCAAGAGAGGGGAGUUUGAGAAGGUUGAUCAAAUGUUAAAGGAAAUGGAGUCCAGCGGUAUUGAGGUGAAUACCGUAAUCUAUAACAAUGUUGUUGAUGGUAAAUGUAAAUAUAGCCUUGUUGGAGAAGCUUUCGAGACCACAAGAAAGAUGAUGGAAGUAGGGUGCCCGUUGGACAUUGUGACGUAUAAUUCUUUGAUUUCUAAUGCUUGUAAAGAUGGGAAUGUGCUGGACGCGGAAAAGCUUUUGGAGGAGGUAAUCAAUCGCGGAUUGGUUCCCAAUAAGCUAAGCUUUACCCCUCUUAUACAUGCCUACUGCAGGGAGCAAAAUUUUGAGAGAGCAUCAUGUCUUCUUGUUGAGAUGACACGAAGUGGACAUAAGCCCGACUUGAUAACCUAUGGAGGUCUCAUUCAUGGCUUAGUUGUUGCUGGAGAAGUUGAGGCUGCUUUGACAAUCCGAAACAAUAUGGUGGAAAGGGGAGUGUCUCCCGAUGCAUGCAUUUACAAUGUGUUAAUUAACGGACUUUGCAAAAAGAGUAGGUUUGCUGAUGCAGAGCAGCUUCUCCAAGAGAUGCUUGGCUGUAAUGUGUCUCUCGAUGCAUAUGUUUAUGCCACUUUGGUUGAUGGAUAUAUAAGAAGUGGCAACUUUGAUGAUGCUGAAAAACUUUUUGACCUCAUAAUCAAAAGAGGUGUCGAUCCUGGGAUUGUAGGGUAUAAUGCUAUGAUUAAGGGCUACUGCAAGCUUGGGAAGAUAAAAGAUGCCGUUCUUUGCAUUAAUAAGAUGACUAGAAGAAACAUCUCUCCGGAUGAAUUUACAUAUUCUACAAUCAUUGAUGGAUUCAUAAAGCAGAAUGAUUUGCUUGGUGCAUUGACUGUAUUUGGCCUCGUCAUCAAACAGAAGUACACGCCAAAUGUUGUGAUGUAUACCUCAAUCAUCAGUGGCUUUUGUCGUUGUAGGCAUGUUUCUGGUGCAGAAAGGAUUCUCCGAGGAAUGCAAUCAAAUGGUGUGCCGCCUAAUGUUGUGACUUAUUCUGUAAUGAUAGGCAGCUGUUGCAAAGAGGGGAAACUUGCACAAGCAUCUUCCUUUUUCGAAGAAAUGAUGAUGAGCAAGUGUAAUCCCAAUGAUGUUACAUUUCAUUAUUUGGUGAACGGGCUAUCAAACAAUGCUGCUUCUAUUAUUCAGUCGACACAAGAUGGUUCUGAGUGGCAUAAGCCUAUGCUUCUUGAUAUCUUUGGGACAAUGGUGUGUGAUGGUUGGCAUCCCAUAUCUGCUGCGUACAGCUCGAUUGUCGCUUGUCUUUGUUUAAACAGGAUGCUUGGAACUGCGUUACAGCUGACUGAUAAGAUGUUGAAUAAAGGCUUCCCUCUAGACUCGGUGAGUUUGGCUGCUCUAUUACAUGGGGCUUGUUUAGUAGGGAAAUCUAAAGAAUGGAAUAGCAUGAUUACUUCCAAACCUAUUGAUGCAAAGCUUGAUGUUGCUUUGAAGUAUUUGACCAUAUUUGGGCGCUACUCGACUCAUGAACUGACUAAGGAGACCUCAGUGAUUUUGCAUUCCUUGCUACAAGAUUCAUGUCUAACGAAUGAAUUGGCAGGUUCUAGAAGUCUUAAUAAACAAUAGGAAACACUUCAAAGUCUGAGCAUGUGAUAUUUCUUGUGAUGGUGUACAGUUUUCUGGGAAUUUGAGGUUGAGAAACUCUACAUUCCAAGCUAUUUAUUUCGUGAUUUUGUUCUGUAUGGCUCACCGGAUUAUCAUAUUUCAAUGGGUGUAUGGCUUUCCUCCAUUUGGUAGCUUAUAUCAGAAGCAACUGAGGCACCAACUACCAUGAUGUAUGCAGCAGCAACAUAUGAACAAGCAGAUAAUGAGGCGAACAUCCCACUGUUCUAUUCGUUCAAAGAAGCAAUUAUGCGCCCUUACGUAACAUGUCAUCAUAAGGAUGGAUCACCUGCAGGGAAUAGGCUGAUUCUCUCAUCAUACUUCCCUCAGCAGGCAACACUUUUCCAACAAGUGAGAAACUAUUAUCUCCAUAUUUCGUUCUGAACCAAGCCAUUUUCACCAGGAGAUACAGUAUGGUAUUUUCUUCGAAAGUAGGCAGUGUGGGAAAGGUGAAGCUACGGUUAUCUUGAUGUCGCACUAUCAAAUGAAUGGACUGUGGUGUUUUACUCUAAGAAUGGCGUGGGGGCAGAGUAGCUAUUGUUAGCAGGGUAUAUUUUUCCCUGGAGGUUGAUCUGAAAGAUUUUAUUACAUUGUAACAGAUCUAGAUGGAAACAUAAGCAGAUUUCAAGCUAAAAGUGCAAUUUUGAAUUGUUCUUAUUCAGAUUUUCAUAAUAAGUGUAGAACAUCUUGAAGAUUUUAUUCACUUUUACAUAUUAGGCUCUGCGAAUUUCAACAGA